rnacentral:rRNA from 1 species
UACGUAGGGUGCAAGCGUUGUCCGGAAUUAUUGGGCGUAAAGAGCUCGUAGGCGGUUUGUCGCGUCUGCUGUGAAAACUCGGGGCUUAACUCCGGGCCUGCAGUGGGUACGGGCAGACUAGAGUGCGGUAGGGGAGACUGGAAUUCCUGGUGUAGCGGUGAAAUGCGCAGAUAUCAGGAGGAACACCGGUGGCGAAGGCGGGUCUCUGGGCAGUAACUGACGCUGAGGCGCGAAAGCUAGGGGAGCAAACGGG